rnacentral:rRNA from 1 species
GACGAACGCUGGCGGCGUGCUUAACACAUGCAAGUCGAACGAAGGCUUCGGCCUUAGUGGCGCACGGGUGCGUAACGCGUGGGAAUCUGCCCUUUGGUUCGGAAUAACAGCUGGAAACGGCUGCUAAUACCGGAUGAUGACGAAAGUCCAAAGAUUUAUCGCCAGAGGAUGAGCCCGCGUUGGAUUAGGUAGUUGGUGGGGUAAAGGCCUACCAAGCCGACGAUCCAUAGCUGGUCUGAGAGGAUGAUCAGCCACACUGGGACUGAGACACGGCCCAGACUCCUACGGGAGGCAGCAGUGGGGAAUAUUGGACAAUGGGCGCAAGCCUGAUCCAGCAAUGCCGCGUGAGUGAUGAAGGCCCUAGGGUUGUAAAGCUCUUUUACCCGGGAAGAUAAUGACUGUACCGGGAGAAUAAGCCCCGGCUAACUCCGUG